GCCAAAAAUCUAGCCCCAAACUGCCCCAGGCCCCAACACCUUAUAUUUACCGAUCAAAACAUUUAUUAAAUUUAGUAUAGGCGAUUAAAAAAUUAAUUGGCGCGAUAUACUCAGUACCGCAAGGGAACGAUGAAAUAAAAUGAAAAACUUCAAGCACGUGAAAGCAGAGACUUUACCUCGUACCUUUUGCAUCAUGGUUUAACUAGUCUAACCAAGCAAAAAGACUUAAAGUUUGACCUCCCGAAACUAAGCGAGCUACUUCAAGGCAGCCUAACGGGCAACCCCGUCUCUGUUGCAAAAGAGUGGAAAGACCUUCAAGUAGAAGUGACAGACCUACCGAGCUUAGUGAUAGCUGGUUACUCAAGAAACGGACUUUAGUCCAACCUAAAGUUAACCUAACACAACAAAGUUAUGCCGUAACUUUAGAGCAAUUCAAAUAAGGUACAGCCUAUUUGAAACAGGAUACAACCUCAACUAACGGGUUCUACACCUAGUGUAACGCAACUAAGUGGGCCUGAAAGCAGCCACCUUUCAAAAAGCGUCGAAGCUUAAUCAUCCUCUACCACAAUCCCCAGAUCCUUUCCCAACCCUUUUACAGUAAUGAGUAAUUCUAUGCAUCAUAGAACUUUUUAUGUUAAAACUAGUAACAAGAAGAUGACCCUUCUCCUAAAUGCAAGCAUAAACCAGAAAGGACACACCACUGGUAAUUAACACCCAUGAGCUGCUAAUAGCAACGCUAUGAAAAACCCCUAUUUAUAAAUAUGUUAACCUAACACAAGAGCAUUAAAAGAAAGAUUAAAAGGAAAAGAAGGAACUCGGCAAACAUUAACCUCGCCUGUUUACCAAAAACAUCGCCUCUCGAACCAAUAUGAGAGGUCUAGCCUGCCCAGUGACUCUGUUCAACGGCCGCGGUAUCCUAACCGUGCAAAGGUAGCGUAAUCACUUGUCCUUUAAAUGAGGACUAGUAUGAAUGGCACCACGAAGGUUACACUGUCUCCUUUCCCUAAUCAGUGAAACUGAUCUCCCCGUGAAGAAGCGAGGAUACACAUAUAAGACGAGAAGACCCUAUGGAGCUUUAAACGAGAUAACAGCCGCCACCUCAUUCUAACCUCAGAGUCCUUACCUACACCCUGGCGGCAUGAUUAUUAGUUUUAGGUUGGGGUGACCACGGAGAAUAAACCAACCUCCGUGCUGAGAGGGGGCCCUCCCCUAAGCAAAAACCCGCAACUUUAUGCAUCAAUAAAUUGACAUUAAUUGACCCAAUAUUUUGACCAACGAACCAAGUUACCCUAGGGAUAACAGCGCAAUCCAUUUUGAGAGCCCCUAUCGACAAAUGGGUUUACGACCUCGAUGUUGGAUCAGGGUAUCCUAGUGGUGCAGCCGCUACUAAAGGUUCGUUUGUUCAACGACUAAGACCCUACGUGA
rnacentral:rRNA from 1 species